UGGUGGAGAUUUUUCUCAAUGCGUAUUGCCAAGUCAACAAGCUGCCUCUGAUGUAUCAUGUUGCAAGAUGAAAAUGUACAGAAAACAGUAAAUCUGAGAUGAUUCCUUGAUCAGUUGGGUAUUGAAGCUGUUAAUGGUGGUGAUAUCUGGUGUGCAGUGGUGUGACAGUCAUUUUCCGAUUGAGAUAUGAACUGAAAUGGAUCUUCUGCAAACUUGCUGUUCAACAUCAUACUUCAAUUUACCACGUUGGUGUCCAUGCCUUGUUGAGCUGUUGUGUGAAAAAUAGUCGGUAUCGCCUGACUGCAUCUUGUUGGUGUGUUCUUUUGCUACCUGUACCCAUGUUGAGUGUAACCGUACGUCGCCGUUCCAGAUCUGAUCCAUUGGUGAAGCUGAGGAGAAAUUGCUGUAAUUCAAGACUGAAAUUAUUUAGAUUUAGACAAGUAAAAACACGCAAAUCUAUUGUCCCUUUUCCCUAAAAACAGAAUGACCUCUGUUGGCUAGUUGUGUGAAAAUGUUAAGAUGGAAUGGGAAAUUGUAAUGAGGUUUUCUAUUUCCUAUGAGAAAAAGUUAAACCACGAAAAUAUCGAGUCACUCUAACUUAACCGCCUCGGUGUCUCCAUAACAUUUCGCUAUUGACUGUUCGAAAAAAUAAAUUAUUGA